rnacentral:sRNA from 1 species
AGACUCAUGGGAGCUGGAGCUUUCUGAGAGGAGCUUUUUCCCUAUCCUGAGUAUGAGACUGAAAAAGACAUUAUGAAAGAGGUUUGAAGAGAGGUGUAUUUUCUUUAAAAGAGAUUAAUUCCACAAUCUCUACUCACAUGACUAUUCAAUUCACCUGAUUUCUACACUGAUGGGAUUGUUCAACUCCCUACAUUUUCCUCAGGGAAGGAUGUCUGCAAAUCAACCCACCAUGGCUGCGAACACAUUUGUGUUAAUAAUGGGAAUUCCUACAUCUGCAAAUGCUCAGAGGGAUUUCUUCUAGCUGAGGACGGAAGACGGUGCAAGAAAUGCACUGAAGGCCCAAUUGACCUGGUCUUUGUGAUCGAUGGAUCCAAGAGUCUUGGAGAAGAGAAUUUUGAGGUUGUGAAGCAGUUUGUCACUGGAAUUAUAGAUUCCUUGACAAUUUCCCCCAAAGCCGCUCGAGUGGGGCUGCUCCAGUAUUCCACACAGGUCCGCACAGAGUUUACCCUGAGAAACUUCAACUCAGCCAAAGACAUGAAAAAAGCCGUGGCCCACAUGAAAUACAUGGGAAAGGGCUCUAUGACUGGG